GGGUAUAAAGAGAGGUCGGGAAAGGGAGAAGAGGAAGAAAAAAAAAAGAGAAAAGGAGAGAAAGAAGAGAGCGGGAAGGAGGAAAAGAAGAAGGGAAGGAAGGUUCCAGAAGGAGAGAGAAGAGAGUCGGAGCGGAGGGGAGCGAGAAGGGAGAGGGAAGAAGGCCGUGGACGGACGACGAUACCGGCAGAAGGAAGGAAGAUGGAAACGGGAGGUACGGUGAAAAUUUUAGUUGCUUUGGUGUGGUGUGAGUUGUGAACUUUUUGCAGGUUGCGGAGUCUGUAGGUGGUGUGACAGAGCUGAGAGGUGGAGGUAGGCUACCAGUGUGGGAUUAUUCCACACGUUAGCGGAGGAAGCCGGGGGAAGCGAGAGGAUGGCGAUGUUUGGGGCGUACGGGGAACCAUAGGGAAAAAUGGAGGUUGUGCGAGUAGCACAGAGGGAGGACCAAUGGGAGGAAAAGUGAGUGAGAAAUUUAGUGAGUGCGGGGGGGGGGGGGGGGGCAGAAAGAGGUGUGUGCGUGGGUGGAGGCGCGAAGGGAGUCGCGAGCGGAAGGCGACGUAUUCAGUGAGCGUACAGUGGAAGGGGUGAGUGUACGGAUUGAGACGGAGUGAGUCGAGAGAUUUCUAACUGCCCUAGGGAGGCAAAAGUAUAAAGGAAGCGGGAGGAGGCAGAAGGAUAGGGGAAGUGGAGCGUGAGGGCGGUGGGUGAGAGAAGAGUACUGGAUUGUUCGGUGGAGAGGACUACGAUAUAGGAAUCGGGGAGUGAUGAGGUUCGGAUGAGGGAGGAGGUGUAACAUAACAGUAGAGGGAGGUAAGUUGCAGGGGGCGGAGAGUGUAGUUGCUUGGAAUUAGAAUGGCGCAAGAGUAGAUGGUAACGUGUGGUUUAGGAUGGGAGAGUAGGGGCAUGUUGGUGAGGUGUAGUGUGAGUCGCCGAUGUUGGUGAUGUGAGAUGGUGGUACUUGUGUGAGUGCGUGGCCUGAUGAGGUCAAUAGGUGGAGGAGAGAGUAUGAGUCGCCGAUGUUAGUGACGUGAGAUGAUGAUACUUGUGUGUGUGCUGGCCUAAUGAGGUCGAGAGGUGGAGGAGUGAGUAUGAGUCGCCGAUGUUGAUGACGUGAGAUGAUGGUACUUGUGUGUGUGCGUGGCCUAAUGAGGUCGAGAAGUGGAGGAGUGAGUAUGAGUCGCUGAUGUUGGUGACGUGAGAUGAUGGUACUUGUGUGUAUGCGUGGCCUACUUAGGUCGAGAGGUGGAGGAGAGAAUAUGGGUCACCGAUCUUGGUGACGUGAAAUGAAGGUACUUGUGUGUGUGCAUGGCCUCAUGAGGUCGAGCGGUGGAGGAGAGAGUAUGAUUCGCCGAUGUUGGUGACGUGAACUAAUGAUACUUGUGUGUGUGGGUGGCCUAGUAAGGUUGUGAAGUAGCAUGGUGAGUGGGGGUAGCCGAUGUUGAUGAUGUGAGG
rnacentral:lncRNA from 1 species